CAGAUAACCAUUGGUUCAUAAGCCAAAAGGGUUUGUCUUUUCUCCACCAUGGGCAAUUACACGAGCCAUUCUUCAGUCAGCAGCAGAGAUUGGCUCGUGUAAUUGCCCAAUGAGUCUGACUUUAUUCUCCAUCAUGUGCCUCUCAAGUAAAGCACUAAAACAACCCCAGAGUUGCCUCCUAAACGCAGACGUAGAAUUCUGAAUUUGUCUGACAUUGAUCGCUUCCUAAUUGGACAAUCUCAUACUUUGCCGCUCCAAUUUGAGGGCCUCCUGAGAAUCAGUGUCUUUUGAUCAUUUUGUGCAAAUGGUUCAACUAGGCUAUUUAUGUAGCCAUAGCAAGUCAAGAUGGGAAAUUUUAGGGAUUUUGUAGCUGCAACAAACUUGGACUAGUUUAGAGGAGAAAUACACUUUGGGUAAGAAAAUGAAAAAUGACGAGGAACCAUGGAAAAUUUGUCACAACCCUCCUUCUGCUACCCCUGCCACUGCAACAUCAGACAACAAGAAUAGGCAGUCUGCCAACAGUGAUGAUUUAAGUGCACAAAUUGCAGCGAGGGGAUUAAAGAUGCCCUUGUGGAGGAUGAAGUGUAAAUAACUAAAGAACUACCACUUGUCAAUAAUACAUCCUUCCAAGGCACUACAAUUUCAACCACACACCUGCAACUGCCAAUCAACCGAGAACAUCCAUCCUGUGUCUUUCCAAAUGAUUUCAUUUUUCUUUUUGGUCAGAAAAUGAAUUCAUUUUGGAUUUUGAAAAUUUGGAUCUGUAUUGCCUUUCGGUUUCCAACAACGGAAGCUCACAUGUUAACCUUGGCAACGAGUAAAAGCAAGAUACAUUGUCUGGUUAAAUAGUGUUCUAGGGUCUAAGUGAGAUAAAUUAUAUGAUUAUUACAUUUUAGAGAAUGAUAUAUGUCAGUGGCUAUGCAACCACUAUGCUUUCAACAUGCCCAAUCCAGAAUCCAGCUAGAAUUAGGAAUCUCCUCCUACAAAGUGGUGCUCUAUGUAUGGUCCCAUAACCAACAAUUGGUUUUUGAUUAGCAUUCUUUAAUUUUAUAUUCCAUGUUUCAUACAUUAG